UUCAGGUCAAUUCAUAUUUUACUUAAAUCUAUAAUGGAAAUUAAGGAAGCAGGAGUAACUACCUCUACAAAAACCCAAAGGAGCUCUUUUUUUCAGGCUCUCAGAAGAGGAAAGUUAAUCACGAUCUUGAAAUAAAGCAAGAAGGAAGCCAUGAAGAUAUCUAGAGAAGAGAGUGUCGGGCAGAGAAAAUAACACAUGAAAUGGUAAUGUGACAGAAAUGGCUGAUAGAAGAUGAAGAAAUCCCAGGGUGAAAAGAAAUUAUGCCAGAAUCUCCAGGUGGAGAAGUUGAAAAGCAGCUGGAGAGUUGGAGAGAGAGUCUCUGCCUCAAAGAAAAAAAAAAGGAAAGAAAGAAGAAAGAAAGAAAAGAAAGAAAGAGAGAAAGAAAGGAAGGAAAGAAUGGAACACAAAAGAGGGCUCAGAGUGAAGAUAUGGAUUGAUCAGAUGACUGAGACUAGGUAAGAUUAUUUAAAGAGUGAG
rnacentral:lncRNA from 10 species